GACGAACGCUGGCGGCGUGCCUAAUACAUGCAAGUCGAACGCUUUUUCUUUCACCGGAGCUUGCUCCACCGAAAGAAGAAGAGUGGCGAACGGGUGAGUAACACGUGGGUAACCUGCCCAUCAGAAGGGGAUAACACUUGGAAACAGGUGCUAAUACCGUAUAAAACUAUUUUCCGCAUGGAAGAAAGUUGAAAGGCGCUUUUGCGUCACUGAUGGAUGGACCCGGGGUGCAUUAGCUAGUUGGUGAGGUAACGGCUCACCAAGGCAACGAUGCAUAGCCGACCUGAGAGGGUGAUCGGCCACACUGGGACUGAGACACGGCCCAGACUCCUACGGGAGGCAGCAGUAGGGAAUCUUCGGCAAUGGACGAAAGUCUGACCGAGCAACGCCGCGUGAGUGAAGAAGGUUUUCGGAUCGUAAAACUCUGUUGUUAGAGAAGAACAAGGAUGAGAGUAAAACGUUCAUCCCUUGACGGUAUCUAACCAGAAAGCCACGGCUAACUACGUGCCAGCCGCCGCCGUAA
rnacentral:rRNA from 1 species